UUCCUGGCGGCUGUCAGGACAGGGAAUGGCAUAGAGGAACCAGCCCUGGGUCCUGCCAAGAGGUCCUGGGGACAAGGGCAGCCUGCAGAGACACAGAGCAGUGACGUCAUAGGCCAGUGCUCCAAUCAGGGAACAGGAGGGUCAGCACUUUACACCACUCACCCCAGGAGCCCCGGCCCCAGCCAGCAGCAGUCCUGGGUCCUGAUGCUGCCAUGGGCUCCAGGCUCCUCUGUUGUGUGACUCUCUGCCUCCUGGGAGCAGGUCUAGUGGAUUCUGGCGUCACCCAGACCCCCAAAUAUCUGAUCAAAUCAAGAAAGCAGCAAGUGAUACUGAGAUGUUCCCCUGAGUCUGGACACCUCUCUGUAUCCUGGUACCAACAGGCCCUGGGCCAGGGCCCCCAGUUCCUUGUUCGGUAUUAUAAUGGGCGAGAGAAUGAGAAAGGAAACAUGCCAGAUCGAUUCUCAGGUGAACAGUUCGGUGACUCUAGCUCUCAGAUGAAUCUGAGCUCCUUGGAGCUGACAGACUCAGCCGUGUAUCUCUGUGCCAGCAGCAAGACACAGCCCUGCAUGAUCAGGUGCCUCUGGGACAAAAAUACUUCUGCCCUAGCUCAGGAAGUGGCUGUGAGGGUGAUUGCCUCCCUUCCAGGCAUAGGUAGAUCUGAUAGACUCUCCCAGAAAUUCUUUCUCUGCUCUGUUUUAAUGCUCCCAAAGAUCAUGCUAGGUAAAUAUUAUUUUACCUGUUUAUACAUCUGAGGGGAACUGACUUGUCCACAUCUUAUAUGUCACUGCUUUCAGAGCAAGGAAUUUGAUUCAAGCCUGUCCUCAUCACUUUUGGUCUUUGCCCCUAUAAAACUUUCCCCCACAUAGAAUAAAUAAUACACAGAAACACACACACACGCACACAAACACACACAUACA